AUAAGGUUAAGUUAAUAAGGGCGCACGGUGGAUGCCUUGGCACUAGAAGCCGAAGAAGGACGUGACAAACGACGAAAUGCUUUGGGGAGCUGUAAGUAAGCGACGAUCCAGAGAUGUCCGAAUGGGGGAACCCACUAGCUAAUGGCUAGUACUCCUAUCUGUUAAGGAUAGGUAGAGGAAGACGCAGUGAACUGAAACAUCUAAGUAGCUGCAGGAAGAGAAAGCAAAAGCGAUUGCCUGAGUAGCGGCGAGCGAAACGGCAGGAGGGCAAACCGAAGAGUUUACUCUUCGGGGUUGUAGGACUGCAAUGUGGACGUAAAGAAUAUAGAAGAAUGACAUGGGAAGGUCAGCCAAAGAGAGUAAGAGCCUCGUAUUCGAAAUAGUCUUUAUACCUAGCAGUAUCCUGAGUACGGCGGGACACGAGAAAUCCCGUCGGAAUCUGGGAGGACCAUCUCCCAACCCUAAAUACUCUCUAGUGACCGAUAGUGAACCAGUACCGUGAGGGAAAGGUGAAAAGCACCCCGGGAGGGGAGUGAAAUAGAACCUGAAACCGUGUGCCUACAACAAGUUCGAGCCCGUUAAUGGGUGAGAGCGUGCCUUUUGUAGAAUGAACCGGCGAGUUACGAUAUGAUGCGAGGUUAAGUUGAAGAGACGGAGCCGUAGGGAAACCGAGUCUGAAUAGGGCGCAAUAGUAUUAUGUCGUAGACCCGAAACCAUGUGACCUACCCAUGAGCAGGUUGAAGGUGAGGUAAAACUCACUGGAGGACCGAACCAGGGCACGUUGAAAAGUGCUUGGAUGACUUGUGGGUAGCGGAGAAAUUCCAAACGAACUUGGAG
rnacentral:rRNA from 1 species